rnacentral:rRNA from 1 species
AUUGAACGCUGGCGGCAGGCCUAACACAUGCAAGUCGAACGAGUGGCGGACGGGUGAGUAAUGUCUGGGAAACUGCCCGAUGGAGGGGGAUAACUACUGGAAACGGUAGCUAAUACCGCAUACCAUCGGAUGUGCCCAGAUGGGAUUAGCUGGUAGGUGGGGGAAAGGCGCACCUAGGCGACGAUCCCUAGCGGGUCUGAGAGGAUGACCAGCCACACUGGAACUGAGACACGGUCCAGACUCCCACGGGAGGCAGCAGUGGGGAAUAGUGCACAAUGGGCGCAAGCCUGAUGCAGCCAUGCAGCGUGUAUGAAGAAGGCCUUCGGGUUGUAAAGUACUUUCAGCGAGGAGGCGUGACUCGCAGAAGAAGCACCGGCUAACUCCGUGCCAGCAGCCGCGGUAAUUC